rnacentral:rRNA from 1 species
UACGGAGGGUGCAAGCGUUAUCCGGAUUUAUUGGGUUUAAAGGGUCCGUAGGCGGAUCUGUAAGUCAGCGGUGAAAUCUCACAGCUUAACUGUGAAACUGCCAUUGAUACUGCAGGUCUUGAGUGUUAUUGAAGUAGCUGGAAUAAGUAGUGUAGCGGUGAAAUGCAUAGAUAUUACUUAGAACACCAAUUGCGAAGGCAGGUUACUAAGCAACAACUGACGCUGAUGGACGAAAGCGUGGGGAGCGAACAGG